rnacentral:rRNA from 1 species
UGAGGAAUAUUGGUCAAUGGGCGGGAGCCUGAACCAGCCAAGCCGCGUGACGGAAGAAGGCGCUAAGCGUCGUAAACGUCUUUUGCCGGGGAACAAAGGCGCGGACGCGUCCGCGUGUGAGUGUACCCGGAGAAAAAGCAUCGGCUAACUCCGUGCCAGCAGCCGCGGUAAUACGGAGGAUGCGAGCGUUAUCCGGAUUUAUUGGGUUUAAAGGGUGCGUAGGCGGCCCGUUAAGUCAGCGGUAAAAGCCCGGGCUCAACCCGGCGAGCCGUUGAACUGGGGGCUAGAGACGGCGAGAAGUACGCGGAAUGCGGCGGUGUAGUGGUGAAAUGCAUAGAUAUCGCGCAGAACUCCGAUUGCGAAGGCAGCGUACCGGCGCCGGACUGACGCUGAGGCACGAAAGCGUGGGUAUCGAACAGGAUUAGAUACCC